rnacentral:rRNA from 1 species
GACGAACGCUGGCGGCGUGCUUAACACAUGCAAGUCGUACGGUAAGGCCCUUUCGGGGGUCCACGAGUGGCGAACGGGUGAGUAACACGUGAGUAACCUGCCCACAACUUUGGGAUAACGCUAGGAAACUGGUGCUAAUACUGGAUAUGUGCUCCUGCUGCAUGGUGGGGGUUGGAAAGCUCCGGCGGUUGUGGAUGGACUCGCGGCCUAUCAGCUUGUUGGUGGGGUAGUGGCCUACCAAGGCGGCGACGGGUAGCCGGCCUGAGAGGGUGACCGGCCACAUUGGGACUGAGAUACGGCCCAGACGCCUACGGGAGGCAGCAGUGGGGAAUAUUGCACAGUGGGCGCAAGCCUGAUGCAGCAACGCCGCGUGCGGGAUGACGGCCUUCGGGUUGUAAACCGCUUUCAGCAGGGACGAAGCUUUUUGUGACGGUACCUGCAGAAGAAGCACCGGCUAACUACGUG